rnacentral:rRNA from 1 species
UUUCGCAAUGCCCGAAAGGGUGACGAAGCGACGCCGCGUGAGUGAGGAAGGCCUUCGGGUUGUAAAGCUCUGUCAGGAGUUAAGAAAUAUAAGUGUGCUAAUACCACAUUUAUUUGACAAAAGCCCCAAAGGAAGCCACGGCUAACUCUGUGCCAGCAGCCGCGGUAAUACAGAGGUGGCAAGCGUUGUUCGGAAUUAUUGGGCGUAAAGAGCACGUAGGUGGGUUUGUAAGUCAGAUGUGAAAGCCUUCUGUUCAACGGAAGAAUUGCAUCUGAAACUGCGAGUCUUGAGUGUAGGAGGGGAGAAUGGAACUUCUGGUGGAGCGGUGAAAUGCGUAGAUAUCAGAAGGAACGCCGGCGGCGAAAGCGAUUCUCUGGCCUAUUACUGACACUCAGUGUGCGAAGGCUAGGGGAGCAAACGGGAUUAGAUACCCCGGUAGUCCUAGCUGUAAACGAUGGGCACUAAGUAGAGGGGUUUUA